rnacentral:rRNA from 1 species
AGUUUGAUCCUGGCUCAGGACGAACGCUGGCGGCGCGCCUAACACAUGCAAGUCGAACGAGUGAGAGAGAGCUUGCUUUCUCGAGCGAGUGGCGAACGGGUGAGUAACGCGUGAGGAACCUGCCUCAAAGAGGGGGACAACAGUUGGAAACGACUGCUAAUACCGCAUAAGCCCACGACCCGGCAUCGGGUAGAGGGAAAAGGAGCAAUCCGCUUUGAGAUGGCCUCGCGUCCGAUUAGCUAGUUGGUGAGGUAAUGGCCCACCAAGGCGACGAUCGGUAGCCGGACUGAGAGGUUGAACGGCCACAUUGGGACUGAGACACGGCCCAGACUCCUACGGGAGGCAGCAGUGGGGAAUAUUGCACAAUGGGGGAAACCCUGAUGCAGCGACGCCGCGUGGAGGAAGAAGGUCUUCGGAUUGUAAACUCCUGUUGUUGAGGAAGAUAAUGACGGUACUCAACAAGGAAGUGACGGCUAACUACGUGCCAGCAGCCGCGGUAAAACGUAGGUCACAAGCGUUGUCCGGAAUUACUGGGUGUAAAGGGAGCGCAGGCGGGAAGACAAGUUGGAAGUGAAAUCCAUGGGCUCAACCCAUGAACUGCUUUCAAAACUGUUUUUCUUGAGUAGUGCAGAGGUAGGCGGAAUUCCCGGUGUAGCGGUGGAAUGCGUAGAUAUCGGGAGGAACACCAGUGGCGAAGGCGGCCUACUGGGCACCAACUGACGCUGAGGCUCGAAAGUGUGGGUAGCAAACAGGAUUAGAUACCCUGGUAGUCCACACUGUAAACGAUGAUUACUAGGUGUUGGAGGAUUGACCCCUUCAGUGCCGCAGUUAACACAAUAAGUAAUCCACCUGGGGAGUACGACCGCAAGGUUGAAACUCAAAGGAAUUGACG